rnacentral:rRNA from 1 species
ACAUGUGAUGCUACAACCCAACUGGGGGAUCGCUCGGCUCGAAUGCCGAUGAAGGUCGUGACAAGCUGCGAUAAGCUGCGGGGAGGUGCAUGUAUACCAUGGAUCCGCAGAUUGCCUAAUGGGACUUCCUGUUUCUUCGGAAACAAUCGCAAUGCGAUAGGGAACCCUCCGAAUUGAAGCAUCUUAGUAGGAGGAGGAACAGAAAUCAAUAGAGAUUCCGUGAGUAGUGGCGAAUGAAAACGGAAUAGGACAAGCCGAAUCCUGAAACGAAAGUGAAGGAGAUGUGGUUGUUAGUCUAUCGUCUAAGUCAUAGAAGGUGAAGUUGUCUGGAACGACACAGCCAAAGAGGGUGAAAGUCCCGUAACCGCAAAUGAUAUGACCAAGUGACUAACAAAGAGUAGCAUGCGUUGGAAAUCGCGUGUGAAUAUAGGAGGCAUAAACUUCUAAUCCUAAAUACAGUUCGAGACCGAUAGUUUACAAGUAACGUGAGUGAAAGCUGAAAAGUAUCCUUAGCGGGAUGUGAAAAGAACGUGAAACCAGUUGGGUACAGGCUGAUAGGGCGUGAAAGCGAAGAUAUGAGCAGCGUCCUAUCGUGCGUUUAGAAAAAUGCCCCAGGGAGUUUUGAUCAAUGGCGAGGUUAAGGGGUUGAUCCCCGAAGCCGGAGGGAAACCGACAAGUCCGCAGCCUUAGGGUGAGGGACGAAGUGUGCUCGCUUGGAGUCAUUGGUGGAAGACCUGAAGCCCGACGAUCUAUGCCUGGCCAGAUUGAAGCCCGUUGAAAGAUGGGUGGAGGAUCGAACCGUUGCUGAUCUGCAAAUCGCUCGGAUGAGCUGGGUAUAGGGGUGAAAGUCCAAUCGAGUUGGGCAAUAGCAGGUUCCGCGUGAAACUACUCGUAGGUAGACGUUAGUGGAGAUUGAUUACGCUGUAGAGCACUGAUUGCGCAUUUAGGGGGAGCGAUUCCUCGAUGCGCUGCCAAACUCCGAAGGUGUAAUCGUUGUAGAUACUAGCAGUGAGUGAUGGUGGGUAAGCUACCAUUACGUAAGGUGAACAAACCAGCCUGAAGUUAAGGUCCCUAAAUAUCAAUUAAGUGUCACAGACAAACCGUGUCCGUGGUCGAAAACAACCAGAAGGUGGGCUUAGAGGCAGCCAUCCUUGAAAGAGUUCGUAACAGAUCACUGGUCUAGCUUGCGGGCCGGGAAAAGGGACGGGGCUAAAAUUGAUUACCGAUACUUCAGACCAUCGAAAGAUGAUGUGGUAACGCGGCGUUGUGUUUGGAUAGAAGGUGGGCUUUGAGGUCCACUGGACCGAAUACAAAUGAGAGUCUUGGGAAGAGUAGCAGCACAGUGUGGUGAGAAUCCGCACCGCCUUAUAAACCAGGGUUCCUCGGCACUGUUCAUCAGCCGAGGGUUAGCCGGUCCUAAGGUCAUUCUUAACCGAAAUGAUCGAAAGGGAAUGACGUUAAUAUUCGUCAGCCUCCUGUACAAUAAAUGGUGACGGCUUGGGCAAAACUUGUAGAUCAUAUGUCAGGUCUACUUGCAACUAUAUUCUGGAGAACUGUCACAGUGAGAAGGAAUUAAAGUCCCAGGUCCCAUGAAAAGCCGUACAGAGUCCGUACCGAGAACCGACACAGGUGUUUUUGGGUGAGUAGCCUAAGGCGUAUCGGAUACAAAUAUCGCGAGGGAACUCGGCAAAAUAGCUCCGUAACUUCGGGAGAAGGAGUGCCAGCUUAGGAAUAAGCUGGUCGCAGUGACCAGGGAGCUCCGACUGUUUAAUAAAAACAUAGGGGACUGCCAGAUCGAAAGGUUGUGUAUAGUCCCUGAAUCCUGCUCAGUGCUGGUAUCUUAAAUCGGGUUUCAACCUGACGAAGGACCAGUAAACAGCGGGGGUAACUAUGACCCUCUUAAGGUAGCGUAAUACCUUGUCGCUUAAUUGGCGACUUGCAUGAAUGGUCCAACGAGGGCUCCACUGUCCCCGCGAUAAGUCCGGCGAAAUUGACUUUACUGGCGCACAGUCCAGUACAUUCUACCCGCAAGCGAAGACCCCGUAGAGCUUUACUGCAGCCUGUCGUUGCAUUGUCGCUUUCCAUGUACUGUGUAGGUGGGAGACGUUGAUCCCUGAGACGCUAGUCUUGGGAGUAGUCGAAAAAAGAGACACCACCCUUGGAAGGUAACAAUGCUAACUCUUUAUGAGAACACCGAUUGGUGGGCAGUUUGGGUGGGGCGCCACGCGCUCGAAAACCUAACAAGCGUGCCCAA